CCGGUGGUCUAAGAUGGGCAUGCGUGACAUUAGAUAGUUGGUGAGGUAACGGCUCACCAAGUCAACGAUGUCUAGGGGUCCUGAGAGGGUGAUCCCCCACACUGGUACUGAGACACGGACCAGACUCCUACGGGAGGCAGCAGUGAGGAAUAUUGGUCAAUGGGUGCAAACCUGAACCAGCCAUCCCGCGUGCAGGAAGACGGCCUUAUGGGUUGUAAACUGCUUUUAUAUACCAAGAAACCUAUCUACGAGUAGAUAGCUGACGGUAGUAUAUGAAUAAGCACCGCUAACU
rnacentral:rRNA from 1 species